rnacentral:rRNA from 1 species
UGGACAUUGCAAAGAGUGGCGAACGGGUGAGUAACACGUGGGAAACCUACCUCUUAGCAGGGGAUAACAUUUGGAAACAGAUGCUAAUACCGUAUAACAAUAGCAACCGCAUGGUUGCUACUUAAAAGAUGGUUCUGCUAUCACUAAGAGAUGGUCCCGCGGUGCAUUAGUUAGUUGGUGAGGUAAUGGCUCACCAAGACGAUGAUGCAUAGCCGAGUUGAGAGACUGAUCGGCCACAAUGGGACUGAGACACGGCCCAUACUCCUACGGGAGGCAGCAGUAGGGAAUCUUCCACAAUGGGCGAAAGCCUGAUGGAGCAACGCCGCGUGUGUGAUGAAGGGUUUCGGCUCGUAAAACACUGUUGUAAGAGAAGAAUGACAUUGAGAGUAACUGUUCAAUGUGUGACGGUAUCUUACCAGAAAGGAACGGCUAAAUACGUGCCAGCAGCCGCGGUAAUACGUAUGUUCCAAGCGUUAUCCGGAUUUAUUGGGCGUAAAGCGAGCGCAGACGGUUAUUUAAGUCUGAAGUGAAAGCCCUCAGCUCAACUGAGGAAUUGCUUUGGAAACUGGAUGACUUGAGUGCAGUAGAG